rnacentral:rRNA from 1 species
GAGUGAAUGAAGGUUUUCGAUACGUAAUAAGCUCUUGUUGUUUAGGAAAGAAACAAAGUACCGUUCGAAUUAAGGGCGGUACUGACCGUACUUACCACGAAAAGCCCACGGCUAAACACGUGCCAGCAGCCGCGUAAAUCGUAGGUGGCAAAGCGUGUUCUGGAAAUUUAUUGGGCGUAAAGGGCUCGCCAGGCGGGUUUCUUUAAGUCUGAUGUGGAAAACCCCCGCUCCAAACCGGGAGGGGUCAUUGGAAACUGGGGAACUGAGUGCAGAAAGAGGAGAGUGGAAUUCCACGUGUUAGCGGUGAAAAUGCGUUAGAAGAUUUGGAGGACACCAGUGGCGAAGGCGACUUUCUUGUUUUUUAACUGCGCUGAGGAGCGAAAGCGUGGGGAGCGAACAGGAUUAGAUACCCUGGUAGGUCCACGCCGUAAACGAUGAGUGCUAAGUGUUAGGGGGUUUUCCGCCCCUUAGUGCUGCAGCUAACGCAUUAAGCACUCCGCCUGGGGAGUACGGUCGCAAGACUGAAACUCAAAGGAAUUGACGGGGGGCCCGCACAAGCGGUGGAGCAUGUGGUUUAAUUCGAAGCAACGCGAAGAACCUUUCCAGGUCUUGACAUCCUCUGACAAUCCUAGAGAUAGGACGUCCCCUUCGGGGGCAGAGUGACAGGUGGUGCAUGGUUGUCGUCAGCUCGUGUCGUGAGAUGUUGGGUUAAGUCCCGCAACGAGCGCAACCCUUGAUCUUAGUUGCCAGCAUUCAGUUGGGCACUCUAAGGUGACUGCCGGUGACAAACCGGAGGAAGGUGGGGAUGACGUCAAAUCAUCAUGCCCCUUAUGACCUGGGCUACACACGUGCUACAAUGGACAGAACAAAGGGCAGCGAAACCGCGAGGUUAAGCCAAUCCCACAAAUCUGUUCUCAGUUCGGAUCGCAGUCUGCAACUCGACUGCGUGAAGCUGGAAUCGCUAGUAAUCGCGGAUCAGCAUGCCGCGGUGAAUACGUUCCCGGGCCUUGUACACACCGCCCGUCACACCACGAGAGUUUGUAACACCCGAAGUCGGUGAGGUAACCUUUUAGGUAGUCUCUAGCCGCCGAAUGGUGUGGACAGAUGA